rnacentral:rRNA from 1 species
CAAAAACAUGUCCUUUAGUAUUGAAUUUAAGGUCUAACCUGCCCACUGAUUUAUUAAAUGGCCGCAGUAUUUUAACUGUGCAAAGGUAGCAUAAUCAUUAGUCUUUUAAUUGAAGGCUUGUAUGAAUGGUUGGACAAAAUAUAUAUUGUUUCAUUUAAAUUUAUAGAAUUUUAUUUUUUAGUUAAAAAGCUGAAAUUUAAUUAAAAGACGAGAAGACCCUAUAGAUCUUUAUAAUUAUUGGAUUUAAUUUAUAAAGAAUAUUUUAUUUUUAAUUUAUAUAAUUAUUUUAUUGGGGUGAUAGUAAGAUUUAUUUAACUCUUAUGUGAUUGAAUACAUAAAUUAAUGAUUAGUUGAUCCAGUAUUAUUGAUUAGUAAAAUAAGUUACCUUAGGGAUAACAGCGUAAUUUUUUUAGAGAGUUCAUAUCGAUAAAAAGGAUUGCGACCUCGAUGUUGGAUUAAGAGAUAAAUUUGGGCGCAGCCGUUCAAAUUUAAAGUCUGUUCGACUUUUUAAUUCUUACAUGAUCUGAGUUCAAACCGGA